CUGUCAGCCUACCGCGUGGGUGAAGAAGGCCUUCGGGUUGUAAAGCCCUUUUGUUGGGAAAGAAAAGCAGUCGGCUAAUACCCGGUUGUUCUGACGGUACCCAAAGAAUAAGCACCGGCUAACUUCGUGCCAGCAGCCGCGGUAAUACGAAGGGUGCAAGCGUUACUCGGAAUUACUGGGCGUAAAGCGUGCGUAGGUGGUUGUUUAAGUCUGUUGUGAAAGCCCUGGGCUCAACCUGGGAAUUGCAGUGGAUACUGGGCGACUAGAGUGUGGUAGAGGGUAGUGGAAUUCCCGGUGUAGCAGUGAAAUGCGUAGAGAUCGGGAGGAACAUCCAUGGCGAAGGCAGCUACCUGGACCAACACUGACACUGAGGCACGAAAGCGUGGGGAGCAAACAGGAUUAGAUACCCUGGUAGUCCACGCCCUAAACGAUGCGAACUGGAUGUUGGGUGCAAUUUGGCACGCAGUAUCGAAGCUAACGCGUUAAGUUCGCCGCCUGGGGAGUACGGUCGCAAGACUGAAACUCAAG
rnacentral:rRNA from 1 species